UACGUAGGGUGCGAGCGUUGCCCGGAUUUAUUGGGCGUAAAGAGCUCGUAGGCGGUUCCGUAAGUCAGAUGUGAAAACUCAGGGCUCAACCCGGAGACGCCAUCUGAUACUGCGGUGACUGGAGUCUGGUAGGGGAACACGGAAUUCCUGGUGUAGCGGUGAAAUGCGCAGAUAUCAGGAGGAACACCGAUGGCGAAGGCAGUGUUCUGGGCCAGUACUGACGCUGAGGAGCGAAAGCGUGGGGAGCAAACAGG
rnacentral:rRNA from 1 species